rnacentral:sRNA from 1 species
AGAGGAAGGCGAAUGACUCGAUUCUAUGGUUUUGGUAUACUGAGCCUGGGGCUACUGGUGUCAGCCUGGUGGUAGUGCAGCUCAUCUGAUGCCUGGGGCUGCAGGAUCCUAGUUGGUUCCUGUGACAGACCUUGGGAAGCUCAAUCUCAGGUAAAGCCUGGAGUCUGGGGUCAUAGGGGCCUGCCCAGUACUGGGUUUUAAUGGGGCACGUCCAGUGUUGGACCUCACAGCAAAGUGCUCACUUCCCUCAAGCAGAAAGUUUCUCCCUCCAUGUUGCGCUGCCGGAGGUUGAGGGAAGCUUUUCUUAAUUGUGUCUUUUAAAAAUGUAUGUGCUAUACCCAGGUGCUGUAAUCUCUUCCUUGGUUUCCCAAUCUCUUGUAAAGGUAUUUUUGUGCAUGAAUAAUUGUUCAAAUGGAAGUUUUUUUGCAGAAACAAGUGCAGGAAAGUCCUAUUUUGCCAUUUUGCUGAUGUCUCUCCCCAGUAUGGUCCAUUUAAAACAGAAAUCACGUCAUGUCUCUGCUCAAAACCCUCCAACAGCUCCAUUUUAUUCAGAACAGGUCAAGGUUUACCAUGGCCUGCAAGACCCUACAUGGUUUUCAUCCCCUAAUUCUCUGAUUUCAUCUUUUGUGUACUCCUUGUUCACUCUGUCCCAGGCACAUUGGCUGUUGCUCACAAACACGAGGCAUUUUAGGGUCUUUGCACUUGUGUCUUGCCUGAGGGUCUUUGCACUAGCUGUUUCCUCUGCCUAGAACAUCCUUACACAAGAGUAUUGUGUACUUCCCUUGUGUCUGUCUUUCUCCUAUCCUUUGUGUCUUUGCUCAAGUCCCACCUCCCCAAAGAUGCCUACUCCUGACCACUGUAUUUAAUACUGUACCUUGUUCUCAGCAUACCCAGCUCUCCUGAUUUCCCUAACUCUGCUCUAUUUGGUUUCUUUUUUUUACUACAGCAAUCAUCAGUUGUAACAUGCUAGAUCAUUUAUUUAUUUACUGUAUGUAUUUUUCAGUGUCUACCUUAUCUUAGUAGAAUGUCAACUCCAGGAAGGCAGUAAAUUUUGCCUAGUUUUUUCACUGAUAUAUCCCAAACACCUUGAAGGUGUCCUAACAUACAAUAAACACUUUAUAAAAGUAUAUUGAAAACAUUAGCCAAUGUUUGUUAAUGAAGUCCGUGUAUCUAUGAUGUAAAAGUGUAUAUGUAUGCAUAUGCAUAUGUAUGUAUAGAAUGGUUUUAAUGAGUUAAACUUCUGUGAGUAAACAUACUUGAUUGUUAGUGUAACAUGAAAAUUGCAAAGUCAGAAUUUUCUAAAUGAAAGGUCAUAAAGCUUCUUUAGUAAAUGUUAAUUUGUUUCAAAGUAUUUUAAUAGUGAUAUAAAAUCCUAGAUGUGUUCAAUUGGGUUGAGAUAAUGAUAUUGGAGAAAAAUUAUAAUUUUCUUGAUGCCCAAGCCCUUCCAUCUUUAAUUUUAAUACUUACGGCACUUCAUUAAAAUGAAUGCUGUAUUUAAUUUUCCAGGAAAUUGUACAGCAUAGAAGAAGAAUGUAUAUUCAAAGCAAUUUCCAGUCAAACUAGUUGAAACUUUUAGAAUAGAAGCCAAUAGAGCCUGUGUCUUUUCUAGAUGUGAGGCUGUUCUUGGCACAUUUGCAGGGGUCAGUGUAGCUUCUGAGCUACCUUUAACCCUUGCUCGGUGCACCUAUUUCCUAAGACCUUUAUCACAUUCUGUACCCUUUCCAAAUUGCCGAUAUCAAUUUCAAAUCCCCAGGGCAGACAUAAUAUUCUCAUAAUAUCUGACCACUGCUAACAGCUGUGGGAAGAAAACUUGCUGUUUUUAGAGCCUCUGCUUCAGUGUACAUAUCCCAUUUUCAUCCCUCGUUUCUUAAAAGAAUUAUAUUGCUGACAAAUUUAACUUUGAGUCCAUAAUAAAUCUUGGAAAUUUUUUCUGGC